rnacentral:rRNA from 1 species
GAUGAACGCUGGCGGCGUGCCUAAUACAUGCAAGUCGAGCGAACAGACAAGAACCUGCCUCCUCUGACGUUAUCCGCGGACGGGUGAGUAGCACAGGGAUCCCCUCCCUAUGCGGCGGGUAACACUUCGAAAAGCCGGAUAUAAUACCGUAUAAUAUAUUGAACCACAUGGUUCAAUAAUAAAAUACGAUUUUACUAUUACUUGUUGAUGCAUCCUCGCCGCAGUAGCUAGUUGGUAUGGUAACGCCUUACCAAGACAACGAUUCGUAGCCGACCUGAGAGGGUGAUCGGCCACACUGGAACUGAGACACGGUCCAGACUCCUACGGGAGGCAGCAGUAGGGAAUCUUCCGCAAUGGGCGAAAGCCUGACGGAGCAACGCCGCGUGAGUGAUGAAGGUCUUCGGAUCGUAAAACUCUGUUAUUAGGGAAGAACAAAUGUGUAAGUAACUAUGCACGUCUUGACGGUACCUAAUCAGAAAGCCACGGCUAACUACGUG